GACACAAGCUGCUGGAUAUCGAGAGGAAUACAUCCGCGGAAGAAGAUGCAAGCAGCUGGACGUCAAGAGGACGUCGAGGGGAGCAAACCAGUGGAAGAGCACACGACGCUGGCACACCGGCAGGCCAUCAGAGUUCGGCCGGGGUAGUCGGAGGAGAGCCCUGGUGCUGAGUGGCUCAACUCCAGGGGAAAACCAUCUCCCUUCUGGCUUCACCAUCUGCUGAGAGCUACUUCCACUCAAUAAAACCUUGCACUCAUUCUCCAAGCCCACAUGUGAACUGAUUUUUCCAGUACACCAACGCAAGAAACCUCAGGAUACAGAAAGCCCUCUGUCCUUCCAAUAAGGCAGGGGGUUCUAAUUGAGCUAACACAAGGCACCUACGGAUGCCUAAAUUAAAGAGCAAACUUGUAACACACGCCCACUAGAGCUUCAGCUGCAAACCGCUAGACACUGCCGUGGGGUCAGAGCCCCACAGCCUGCCGGUCUGUAUGCUCCCCUAGAGGUUUGAGCAGCUGGGCAAUGAAGAGGUGAGCUACAACUCCCAGUGCACACCCUGCGAGGGGGACAAGGGAACUUUUCCUGUUUUAGAAAUACCAAAGCACAAUCAACCCAUCAAACGAAAAAAACAACAACAGCCUAAAAGACAAGGUUGAUGUGGAGGAGAAAAAAAAGGUCUCGCUCUGCCACCCAGGCUAGGAGUGCAGUAGAGUGACUACAGUUCACAGCAGACUCAACCUUCCAGGCUCAAGCAAUCCUCUCACCUCGGCCUCCCAAGUACCUGGGACUACAGGCACACUCCACCAUUCCCAGCUAAUUUUUGUAUUUUUUGUAGAGACAUGGUUUUGACAUAUUGUCCAGGCUGGUCUUUUACUGUCAAAUUGCUAUAUUUUAUUGCUUUUGUUUUUGAAUAUUUUUGAUCCAUGAUUGAGUCCAUGAACAUGGAACCUGUGGACAUGGAGGCCCAACAAUAGUACUUAAUGUCUUUCUAACACAGCUACCUUAUGAACUCUGGAAAAAAUUGUAUGCCAGCCAAAGCAGUGGAACAACCAUAUUCUACUCACUGGAUUGUCCUCAACUGUUCAACAAUACCUCCCAAACUUGUUCCUGACUUCCGCCCAACAUGCAAUGACUCCAUUCUCAUUGUGCUCUUACCUGUUUCACUUAGUUGGAUUAUUUCUGUUCAAAAAUAUGUUUGAUUUUUAAAACUCAGGCUUUCACAGCUUUUAAAAGUUGUAUAAACCACUGUAUUUGUUUGAUAGAUGUGGGUGAAUUUGGCUUCCUACAAAGCAAUAACAAAUCAUCCACAUAGGAAAGUUACCAUUUCUGCAGAUGGAAAAAUGUGUACCUUGCUUCUCAUAUCAUUGUUUUCAUUUUGCAAGAUAUGAAUUUCUUGAAUAGUGGUAUCACCUACAAUUACUUAAAA
rnacentral:lncRNA from 1 species